ACACGUAGGGGGCGAGCGUUGUCCGGAAUUACUGGGCGUAAAGGGCGUGUAGGCGGUUUAUUAAGUCAGACGUGAAAACCCUGGGCUUAACCUGGGGACUGCGUUUGAAACUGGUAGGCUUGAGGGCAGGAGAGGAAAGUGGAAUUCCCGGUGUAGCGGUGAUAUGCGUAGAUACCGGGAGGAACACCAGUGGCGAAGGCGGCUUUCUGGACUGCACCUGACGCUGAGGCGCGAAAGCCAGGGGAGCGAACGGGAUUAGAUACCCCGGUAGUCCUGGCCGUAAACGAUGGGUACUAGGUGUGGGAGGUAUCGACUCCUUCCGUGCCGGAGUUAACACAAUAAGUACCCCGCCUGGGGAGUACGGCCGCAAGGCUGAA
rnacentral:rRNA from 1 species